UAUUGGUCAAUGGGCGCAAGCCUGAACCAGCCAUGCCGCGUGCAGGAAGACGGCUCUAUGAGUUGUAAACUGCUUUUGUACUAGGGUAAUUUGCGGUACGUGUACCGUAUUGAAAGUAUAAUACGAAUAAGGAUCGGCUAACUCCGUGCCAGAAGCCGCGGUAAUACGGAGGAUCCAAGCGUUAUCCGGAUUUAUUGGGUUUAAAGGGUGCGUAGGCGGUUUGAUAAGUUAGAGGUGAAAUACCGGGGCUUAACUCCGGAACUGCCUCUAAUACUGUUGAACUAGAGAGUAGUUGCGGUAGGCGGAAUGUAUGGUGUAGCGGUGAAAUGCUUAGAGAUCAUACAGAACACCGAUUGCGAAGGCAGCUUACCAAACUAUAUCUGACGUUGAGGCACGAAAGCGUGGGGAGCAAACAGGA
rnacentral:rRNA from 1 species